UAGCAGGGACUACAGUUGCAUGCCACCAUGCCCAGCUAAUUUUUGUAUUUCUAGUAGAGAUGGGGUUGCACCAUGUUGACUAGGCUGGUCUUGAACUCCUGACCUCAAGCGAUCCACCGUGGCCCACCCUCAGCCUUUCAAAUUUCUGGCAUUACAGGCAUGAGCCACUGCUCCCAGCCAAACCGCAGUCUUUACAAGGGAUUCUUUUUUUUUUUUUUUUCUGAUGGAGUUUUGCUGUUGUUGCCCAGGCUGGAAUGCAAGGAUGCAAUCUUGGCUCACUGCAACCUCUGCCUUCCAUGUUCAAGUGAUUCUCCUGCUUCAGCCUCCCCAGUAGCUGAGAUUACUGGUGCAUGCUACCACACCCGGCUAAUUUUUAGUAGAGAUGGGGUUUCACCAUGUUGGCCCGGCUGGUCUCGAACUCCUGACCUCAGAUGAUCCACCCUCCGCGGUCUCCCAAAGUGCUGUGAUUACAGGUGUGAGCCACCAUGCCUGGCCUUUACAAGGGAUUCUAAUGGUCUAAUGCGACAGUUGUGGCUUCAGUGAGCUCAGGGUGCCCUCUGGUGUCCAUGUGGGCCCAAGGAUGUGAUAUUUAGAAAAAACACUUGUAAUUCUGGGGGACAUGUAAUUGAAGCCACUUGCCAACUUUUCAAGAUUCUUAUUUAUUUAUUUAUUUUUUUUUUUGGAGACAGAGUCUCGCUCUGUUGCCCCAUCUGGAGUGCAGUGGUGCAAUCUUCUCGGUUCACUGCAACCUCCGCCUCCCUGGUUCAAGCGAUUCUCUGCCUCAGCCUCUGGAGUAGCUGGGACUACAGGUGCAUGCCACCAUGCCUGGCUACUUUUUGUAUUUUUUGCAGAGACAGGGUUUCACCAUGUUGGCCAAGGUGGUCUGGAACUCCUGGCCUCAAGUGAUCCAUUGGCCUUGGUCUCCCAAAGUGCUGGGAUUACAGGUGUGAGC
rnacentral:lncRNA from 1 species